GAAAUUUGUGGGCUACAAAUGUGAUAUUUUGGUGCUUUAGAAGAAAAAUAGCCCAAAGUAGAUUUUUUUAGAAAAAAAGUAGCUCAAAAUUUUUCUCGCUUUGAAUUUUCUAAAGAUUUCCGUUAAGGGCAUGCGCGUUUUGCAUUUUUUGCGUUACGUUCAAAAGUUUAACCUGAUGACUAUUAUGCAUUUCUUAAUAAGUUCGAAUUAUAACAAUUCGAUUUAUGAUUGAAAAAAACAUGUUGAUGUUUUAAGUUUGAGUGUUAAUGUAAAAUUGAAAUUUGAAUGUUUCAAUUUUGAAAAAUUGAAUUUGUUUUUUUGGUUGUCUAUUAUCAACAGAUGGUAAGAGAUUUGCUGUGUUCUUAAUAUUUAUGUUUCAUGUCAUUUUUUCAUUUAAUAGUGAUAAAGAUUCAUUUUCUUGUCAUAAUUUUGUAUUGUAACAAAAAUAUGAUCAUAAAAUGUUAUUCGAAUUUGAUAUAGAAUUUGAAAGACGAACUGGUAAUCUUAAUGAAGUUGAAUUGGAAUCAUGGUCGAAAUAUGAUGAUAUUUUGGAAGCUAAUAAAAAUGAUGUUACAUUUAAUAAACGUUUGCAUAGUGAUGAUAAUGAUAAUGUCAAGGAAGGAAUUGCGCGCAAAUCAAUAUGCAAAAGAUGGAACAAAUUUGUCCUAUAUUUC